rnacentral:misc_RNA from 1 species
GGAAUCCGAUGAAAGCUAGUGAUGAUCAGAGCUCAAGCUUUCCCUUGCAGUAAUCUUGAUUGAUUCUUGUGGUCCCUAAAAAAUAUUAUGGCCCUCAAUAUUUUCAAGAGUCUUGCAUUCACCAUUACCAUUUUGAAGGUCUAUCAAAUCUUCCCUUUUGGAUUGAGUAGCUAGUUCUUGGUCUUUGCGGUCUUAUGGCUGAAGCAGUGUAAUCUAUAGCUAAAAAUGAUCUGAGAUAAAAAGGGAUCAAGUUGGUCAAGAUAAAACCAGGAGUUGAAAUGGGGUAAGUAAAAAUUUUCUCCUUCUUUGUCCAUUUAAGUUCACUAUCUUAUCAAACAUAAUCAAGUGUGUUAUCUUCAUCAUGUACUAUUAUCCGAAUAUGUGUAUUAUCGAUCGAUCGAUGCAAAACUAUAUAUCCUAGUUGCAAGUUUCUCAAUUAAUUUUUGGCCUUGAUGAUCACUAUUAGUGGAUCAAUGUAG